UACGUAGGGGGCAAGCGUUGUCCGGAUUUAUUGGGCGUAAAGAGCGUGUAGGCGGCCAGACAGGUCCGUUGUGAAAACUCGAGGCUCAACCUCGAGAUGUCAAUGGAAACCGUCUGGCUAGAGUCCGGAAGAGGAGUGUGGAAUUCCUGGUGUAGCGGUGAAAUGCGCAGAUAUCAGGAAGAACACCGGUGGCGAAGGCGGCAUCCUGGACCGACACUGACACUGAGGAGCGAAAGCCAGGGGAGCAAACGGG
rnacentral:rRNA from 1 species